CCUACGGGGGGCAGCAGUGGGGAAUAUUGGACAAUGGGCGAAAGCCUGAUCCAGCCAUGCCGCGUGUGUGAAGAAGGUCUUCGGAUUGUAAAGCACUUUAAGUUGGGAGGAAGGGCAGUAAGCUAAUACCUUGCUGUUUUGACGUUACCGACAGAAUAAGCACCGGCUAACUCUGUGCCAGCAGCCGCGGUAAUACAGAGGGUGCAAGCGUUAAUCGGAAUUACUGGGCGUAAAGCGCGCGUAGGUGGUUUGUUAAGUUGGAUGUGAAAGCCCCGGGCUCAACCUGGGAACUGCAUCCAAAACUGGCAAGCUAGAGUACGGUAGAGGGUGGUGGAAUUUCCUGUGUAGCGGUGAAAUGCGUAGAUAUAGGAAGGAACACCAGUGGCGAAGGCGACCACCUGGACUGAUACUGACACUGAGGUGCGAAAGCGUGGGGAGCAAACAGGAUUAGAUACCCCAGUAGUC
rnacentral:rRNA from 1 species